GACGAACGCUGGCGGCGUGCCUAACACAUGCAAGUCGAACGGAGUUGACCUUCGGGUUAACUUAGUGGCGAACGGGUGAGUAACGCGUGAGAAACCUGCCUUUCAGUGGGGGACAACAGUUGGAAACGACUGCUAAUACCGCAUAAUGGCAUUUGGGGGCAUCCCCGAAUGACCAAAGAUUUAUUGCUGAAAGAUGGUCUCGCGUCUGAUUAGCUAGAUGGCGGGGUAACGGCCCACCAUGGCGACGAUCAGUAGCCGGGCUGAGAGGAUGACCGGCCACAUUGGGAGUGAGAUACGGCCCAGACUCCUACGGGAGGCAGCAGUGGGGAAUAUUGGGCAAUGGGCGAAAGCCUGACCCAGCAACGCCGCGUGAAGGAAGAAGGCCUUCGGGUUGUAAACUUCUUUUACCAGGGACGAAAAUUUGACGGUACCUGGAGAAAAAGCAACGGCUAACUACGUGCCAGCCGCCGCGGUAACAC
rnacentral:rRNA from 1 species